UACGGGGGGGGCAAGCGUUGUUCGGAAUUACUGGGCGUAAAGGGCUCGUAGGUGGCCAACUAAGUCAGACGUGAAAUCCCCAGGCUUAACCUGGGAACUGCGUCUGAUACUGGAUGGCUAGAGUUUGGGAGAGGGAUGCGGAAUUCCAGGUGUAGCGGUGGAAUGCGUAGAGAUCCGGAGGAAGACCGGUGGCGAAGGCGGUCUGCUGGGCAGUUUCUGACACUGAGGCGCGACAGCGUGGGGAGCAAACAGG
rnacentral:rRNA from 1 species